rnacentral:lncRNA from 1 species
AUGACUGGAGCGUCUGGCUCGCGGAGAUCAACAUGGCAGUUUUCCUGUGCACCCGCAUAAAACCGUCCGCCUACUCAGAUGUGGCUGAGGGAGUGGACUGCUGCUGGUCAUCUCUAUCAGAGGCUGGAGUGCAGUGGCGUUAUCUUGGCUCACAGCAACCUCUGCCUCCUGGGUUCAAGUGAUUCCCCUGCCUCAGCCUUCCGAGUAGCUGUUACUACAGCUAUUCUACUCUUCAUAUGUGAAGGAGUUUGGGUAUAAAAAGAACAAAAGGCAACAUUUGAAGACAUCUCAGAAACCAUUCAAAAGGAAAAACCUUGAUGAUUAGUCAGUAAUUUUGGAGGGAAAAAGUGAAAGGUAUGUUGAUGGACACCACUCUCCUCCCCUGGUGACAACUCUUGAUGCAUCCCUACUGUGACAAGAUCAGAUCUGAAUUUCUGACCUAUAUCAAUUUCCUUCUCUCUGAGGAACUUAUUUGAGUAUUUCGUGCAAGGCAAGUCUACUGGCAACAAAUUACCUCAGUUUUUGUCUGAGAAAGUCUUUUUUUCCUUCUUCACUUUAGAAGGAUAACUUCACUGGAUGAAGAAUUUUAAGCUUGUGUUUUUCUUUAUUUUUCUUUCAACACUUUCAAUAUUUCACUUUAUUCUCUUCUUGCUUGCAUGGUCCCCGAUGAGAAGUCUGAUGUAAUUCUUAUCCUUGUUGCUUUAUAGGUAAUGCUUCCCCCAACUCUCUCAUUUCUUUCAAGAUUUUCUCUUAGCUUUUGAUUUUCUGCAGUUUGAAUGUGAAAUGCCUAGAUGUCGAUUUUUUGGAUUUGUCUUGCUUGGUGUUGUCUAACCUUCCUGGAUCUGUGUUUUGAUGUGUUUCAAUAAUUUCAGAAAAUUCUGAGCUAUUAUUACUUCAAAUAUUUCUUCUGUUCUUCUUUCUCUUUCUUUUCCUUUUAGUAUUCCCAUUAUGUAUAUGUUACACCUUUUGUAAUGAUUAUACACUUCUUGGAUAUUUCGUUAUUUUUCCCAUUCUUUUUUUCUCUUUGCCUUCCAGUUUGGAAAGUUUCUGUUGACCUAUCACCAAGCUCAUUAAUUCUUUCCCCAGACAUUUCCAACCUGCUGAUGAGCCUUUAAAUACAUUCUUCAUUUCUUCAUUUCUGUCACAAUGUUUUUUUAUUUCUAGCAUUUCCUUUUGAUUCUUUCUUAGGGUUUUCAUCUCUGUGCUUACAUUACCCACCUGUGCCUUCAUGUUGUCUAUUGUUUCCACUAGGGCUUCGUAUUAGUCUGUUCUCACACUGCUAUUAAAGACAUAUCUGAGACUGGGUAAUUUAUAAAGGCAAGAGAUUAAUGGACUCACAGUUCCACAUGGCUGGGGAGGCCUCACAAUCACGGCAGAAGACAAAGGAAGACCAAAGGGACUUCUUACAUGGUGGCAGGCAAGAGAGGGAGCUUGUGCAGGGGAACUCCUCUUUAUAAAACCAUCAGAUCUCAUGAGACUUAGUCACUAUCACAAGAACAGCAUGGGAAAGGCCCGCCCCCAUGAUUCAGUUACCUCCCACUGGGUCCCUCCUAUGACACAUGGGAAUUGUGGGAGCUACAAUUCAAGAUUACAUUUGGGUGGGGACACAGCCAAACCAUAUCAGGCUUUUUCUGUUUUGACUACCUGGAGUACUACAAUUCAAUUCUGGCACUAAUGACCUAGAGUUAGCACCAAAUUCCACAAAUUAAUGGCUCAGUCCUCCACAAGACUGCUUCUUAUUCCAGAUGCCAGCCACAAGUGGAGUCCCCAGUCCCCAGGCUCCCUGCACCUCUGACUGAUUAUAAAUUUGGGAGUUCCCAUAACUACCUCAGUUUUGAUAAUUCGAUAUGGCUCAGAACUCACUGAAAGUAGACUAUGUGUAAAACUCUACAUGUAGAGUUUUAUUAUAAAGUAUACACUUAGGACAAGAUCUGGAAGGGCUCUGGAUGCAAAAUUUUCAUACUCUCUUCCCAAGGAAUCUGAGUGCAUCAUCCUCCCUGUACACCAGUAUGUUCACCAACCAGAAAACUCCACUGAGUUUCAGUGUACACAUUUUUUAUGUGGAAUAUGAUUACACAGGCAUGAUUGGAUAUGCAAUUGGCCACAUAAUUGAGCUCAGUCUCUAGCCCUCUUUUCCAUGCAGGUAAAACUGGCCCAAAGUUCCAGCCUUCUAAUCGUGUGUUUGGUCUUUCUGGUGUCCAUCUCCCAUCCUGAAGCUAACUAGGAGUCUGUCAUGAGUUACCUCAUUAGCAUAACAAAUAAUUUCUAUCUCUCAGGAAAUUCCCAGGAUGUUUGAAGUUCUUUGUCAGGAACUAAGAUCAAAGGCCAGAUAAACUUUUUUUUUUUUUUUUUUAAAGACAAGGUCUUGCUCUGUUGCCCAGGCUGGAGCACCGUAAGGCAAUCUUGGCUCACUGCAACCUCCACCUCUUGGGCUCAAGCGAUCCUCCCACCUCAGCCUCCCAAGUAGCUGGGACUAUGGGUACAUACCACCUUGCCUGGCUAAUUGUUUGAUUUUUUGUAGAGAUGUGAUCUCACUAUGUUGCCCAGGCUGAUCUCAAACUGCUGGGCCCAAGUGAUCCUCCCGUCUCAGCCUCCCAAAGUGCUGGGAUUACAGGUCUGAGCUACCAUACCUGGCCAAAUUCUUUAUUAUACCACAGAGCCCUUAAUAUAUCAAUAAUAGUUGUUUAAGUUUCUUAUCUGAUAAUUCCAAAAUCUGAAUAUAUCUGAGUCAGAUACUGAUGCUUGCUUUGUCUCUUCAGACUUUAUUUUUUCCUUCCCUUAGCAUAUCUCAUAAUUUUUUUCUGUUGGAAGUGAUCAUGCUAUAUCUAGUAAUAGAAACUGAGUUAAUUGGGCUUUUAAUAUAAGGCUUUAUGUUGAUCUGGCUAGGAGCUAGGCUACGUUUAAUGUUAAUUGUAACGCAUAUAUGCCAGAGGCUCCAGUUUUCUAUAGUUUCCUUUUAUUCCCUGCUUCCAUGGUGCCUUUAGGUUCCGCUAAGAACUCUUUCUUAAAUAGAUUACGUCUUUCAGUUCUCUCAGUUGUAAUCCACCGUUUUUUUACUGGAGCCUUGCUGAUGUGGUGGUAAGACUUUAAGGAGGGUAAGCACUCUAUAAUCUUAUAAUUAAAUCUCAGCUAUUUUUAGUGGGCCUGAGUCCCUGAGCUGUGACAUUCAGCAUUUCUCAGCCUUUUUUUUCCUUAUCAUUAUGUGAGACACGAAGGCUAGGGGGAACUAGCAUUGUCUAGUUGCCCUUCUUCUUGGUCACAUAAGACUCUGGUAAUUUCCCUUGAUGUAACUCUUGUGACAGAGAACAGAAAACUCUGGGCUUAUUUCAAAAUGGCACUUCUUCUUUCCUCUUGCUCAAAGCAAAGGAGAUUUGUCUCCCAUAUGAUUUUUACUCUUAUGGGGCUCCUAGUGGCACAGAAAACCCUGGGCUUAUUUCAAAAUGGCACUUCUUCUUUCCUCUUGCUCAAAGCAGAGGAGAUUUCUCUCCCAUAUGAUUUUUACUUUCGGUGGGGCACCUAGUGGUAAAUCCCACAAAAGUGUGGAGCUUCCUAAAACUGGGCCAUCAGGAGUUUUUAAAUCUCAAGUUAGUCUGCACUCAGCCUUCAGCAGUUUAUCAAUUACCAUUUAAGUGUUCCUACCAGUUACUGGUUCCAGAAGCCUCUGCUCUUGGUAAACUGUAAUUCUUUGUAUUUACACAUCUCUACAGUUUUGGGGGUGGCAGUUUGCCCUGUGACCUCAAUUCUCUGGUAGAUUUAAGAAAAGUUGUUGAUUGUUAGCUUGUUCAGCAUUUUUCUUGCUGUGAGAACAGGAAUGUUGACUUCUAAGCUCUUUGCAUAUCAGAGCUAAUCAGGAAGCAUGACCGGUAUACAACUAGAGGAAGGGUGCUUAAAUCUAAGUGGAAUUAGCCUAUCUAUGGUUCAUGGCAAUCAUGCAUAUUGAUUACAGCCAGACGCCACUGAUUCUUUCAUCAAACCAACUUUUCUCCUAGAAUUGCAUUCUAUGAAUAUAAUAUUUUGUUGAGUAGUUAGUCAAAUUAAAUGCAGUUUUCAAAAGGGGAAUCUUUUAGGGAGAUAUGGCCUUAUGGUUUGAACCAGAUUUCAUUUCCACUGUAUCAAAUCCCAGUGGCCUUCUCAGUGGCAGAAUGGGUUUUUCACAAAUUCUCUGUAUUGUAGUUGUUAAUUCUUAAGUAAAGUAACUCUGGAAUGUGCUUUCUUUGGCUUAUAAGUAGACCUCCUCUCCACCUUAUGAGUUUCCAACUCUUUGCCCUUGAAUUAGACACAUGUUGGUAGAUUGUAGCCUAAGGCCUACUACUUACUAGUACUUGAUAAAAUCUUCUCCCUAGGAUGAAUGGGCAGUGGACUAAAGACAAGAAUUACAACUUUUUAAUCAAAGUGGCUGAAUCCAUAACUAUAUCUUUCUAAAUUAAGCCUGUUUUGUUAUGAACUGUCUCUAGAUUACCAUUAGCAAUGUUGUUGGUCGGAUGAUUUGGAGAAAAUGAAAGAACAUCAUGAUUUUUAUUUUCCUUCUUUCUAUAAUCCAAUGAUUCUCAACUAGGGGCAGUUUUACUCCUGCAGGGACAUUUGGCAAUGUCUGGAGACGUUUCUAAUUGUCACACCUAGAGAAGUGAUUGCUAUUGGUGUCUUGUGGGUAGAGGCCAGGGAUGCUGCUAAACAUCCUACAACACACAGGACAGUUCCCAUAACAAAUAAUUAUCCACAAAAAGUUAUCUGGCCCAAAUUGUCAGUAGGGCGGAGGUAAAGAAGCCCUGCUAGAAUCUGAGAAAUUAGCCACCAUGGCUUCUUUGUCUAUACUAGGAUCCUAAAGAUCUCAUUAUUUUUAUCUCUUUAUUAAUUUCUGUAUUACAAAGAUAAUAUUUUUCUCUGGACUAUUUUCUCAUUUGACCAAGGAAGUUAGUCUUGGAAUCCUGCCCCACGAAGCUUACAGGUCAGUAAUUCACAGUAUAAUCUCCUUAUUGGAGUGGAGGCCUAUGGGUGCUGGAGUCCUAAGAGUUAAACACCUUUGCACAAUUAUAGUGGUUUAGUGUGCAGCUUAUACAAACAAAAAUAUUAUCUGUACCUUUAAUUUGUAGUUUCCUUGUGUUAUAGUAAUAAUACAGAGCAAAUCUUGUGUUAUAGUAAUAAUACAAAGAAACUACAAAUUAAAGGUACAGAUAAAAUUUCGAAAAUAGCCUUAGUGGAAGAAUGAGAACCAAGCUCUUUUGACCUGUUGAGCUUCACAUAUGGUUUACAGAUGCUCUCCAAUUUCAUCCUCAUAACAGCCUCACCAGACAAUCUUGUUCUUGUCAGACAAAGAGUCAAGAAGAGAACAGAAUGAUACUUUGAAGAUAAUUUUAUCCUGUUCCUGUUAAUUAGUCAAAUAUGUGCCUUGUAUAAAUUUACAACUUACACAGCGUCUACAGAGAAAUAUAAAAAUCACUCAUUAUUAUACUCUCAGAGAUAACUGUUUAGUGUAUUUCUUUGCUACUUAUUUUUUUUUUGCAUGUAAAUGCAUUUUAAGUGUAAUUGCAUUUAUUCUGUGUACAUCACCUUUAUCUUUUCCCCUCCCCUCAGUAUCAUUUCAUGGGCAUUUUAGGAGGUCAGUUGAUAUUUUCUUUCUUUUUCAGAUUUGAUAAGCUAAUUUUUUUUAUUUCAAUAGAUUUUUGGGGAACAGGUGGUGGUUGGGUUACAUGAGUAAGUUCUUUAGUGGUGAUUUCUGAGAUUUUGGUGUACCCAUUACCCAAGCAGCAUACACUUGAGUUGAUAUUUGAUAUUUUCUAAAGUAUGAUAUUUAAUGAUUUUAAAUACUUCAUCAUAUGACUACUUCAUAUGUUUAAUCAUUCCCCUUGAUAAGUGGCAACAUUUUUCUGUAUGAAAGAAACAAACCAAAAAACAAACAAACAAACAAAACAGAGAAGAAAAGUGCCUGAAGCACACUGGUAUAUUGAAACAGCAAAAUUCAACAACAAAAACAAAAAAUACCACCAGCUAUAUGAAAAACAAACCACAAAUCUUUGACUUCUCAUCAUACCUAACAAUACUGGGCUUUGUAAAUAUCCGUUAAAUUAUAUACAAAUCCGUGUACGCAGAUAAUGAUAUUUUUCACUGUGCCCAGAAAAUUUGAUUGUUGUAGUGUCUGCUUCUAAAAACGGGUAAGAUAUAAUAGUGUUUCAUAUUUAAGAUAAAUAGUAUAGCUUAGUAGUGGAAGCCUGUUUCGGGGGGUGGUUGAUUUUUUUUUUUAGGUUCAAAAAUAGUAAUUUUAGUAUCCCAGGAGUUCCAAGCUUAUAUAAAAUAAAAUAAUUGUUAUUAAUAUCUAUACUGGUAUAUAUAGGAUAUAUGUUAUAUAAUACAGUUCAUCCUUGAACAACAUGAGUGUUAGGAAUACCGGCCCCCACACAGCCGAAAAUGUGUGUAACUUUUGACUCCCUCCAAAUUUACCUACUAAAAGCCUACUGGUGACCGGAAGCCUAACUGGUAACAUAAACAGUUGGUUAACGCAUAUUUUGCAUGUUAUAUGUAUUAUACACUGUAGUCUUACAAUAAAGUAAGCUAGAGAAAAGAAAAUCAUAAGGAAGAAAGAAUAUAUUUACCAUUAAGUGGAAGUGGCUCAUGAUAAAGGUCUUCAUCCUCACUGUCUUUGUGUUAAGUAGACAAAGGAGGAGGAGGAAGAGGAUAGGUUGAUCUCGCUGCCUUGGGGUGGCAGAGGCAGAAGGAAAUCUGCAUAAAAGUGGACCUGCACAGCAACCCUUGUUCUUCAAGGGUCCACUGCAUAUAUCAUAUAUAAAAAUAACAGUUACAUAGUAUUGCAAUUAUAUCCAGACAUAAUAGGCAAGACAUGAGACAUAAAAUAUAGAAUUAAUUUUGGAAGUCAUCUAAAUCAUGCUCUGAGGGAAGGUACAAGGCUACUAAAGGCAAAGAGCCUUGCUAAGUCAGGGUGUGGCAUAACUGAAAGCCCAAAUGCCAGACUUUGUCCUCUGCUUAGCCUAAACCAGAGGUCAGAUGUCUCUUGUCGCCAGAUGUUGAUAAACACAGAGAGGUAAGCUCUUCAGUUACCCUAUCACCACCUUACUAAUACAUAUGACUGCAAAACGUUGCCUUCAUGUAAGUCAGAAUAUGAAGGAAAAGCCCCUAAUGAAUAUGAUUUCAUGAACUUUGGACAUAAAAACUCACUUGGUAGUACAUUAUAAUUUUAAAUCACAUUUAAUUCCCUGCCAGCCAGGAAAUAAUUCCAUGGGAAGUCAAUCAAUGAAAGUUAACAAAAUCAUUACUAGAAAAAAAGGUAAUAUUUUUCAUUUUCAAAAAGUAAAGGGUUGGGUUGAAUGAGAAGUAGAUAUAGGAGACAGAGCAGCAUUCUCAGGUGUUGUUCAUGCCCCUGCCAUUGUUUUAAUUAUGGCCUCAAUAUUCUUUCUCAUGGCUGAUGGUUGACUUUGGUGAGUAGAAGUAGGUAGUAGCUAAGAAUAAUCAUGAAAAAAUAGAACAUUUUCUUUAAAAAGGAAAAAUUGCCUAAUGAUAUAUCAGUUUUGUAUCUACAAUCACCAUAGAACAUUUAGGUUAUUUGUACUCUAUUAUCAGGAAAGAUUGGGGAAAAGUGGAGUGGCAAAGAGAAAUAAAGAAGUAUUAAUUGGAAACCACCUCAAACAUGAGAAAAAUAGCCUUUAUUUAUUUCAUUCUGCAUCUGCUAGUCUCUGGGCAAUCUAAAAAAACAGUCUUCAGAAUUAUAGCCACAUGGUGAUUUUUUUCCUCUCCAGAAUUACAAGAAAAUUGGCUCCCACACUGUGGAACUAAAAAGAGGGGCUAUAGGGUGCUGCUUCUCUCUCUUGACAUUUUACUUGGUUUUCAAAGGAAUUCGUGACUAAGAAUCUCAUGGAAUCUAAAUGCGGUCACUGAUGGAAAUUUAGGUUUCCACAAAGAGUGCAGGAAGAAAUUUACAUGGCAAAAAAAAAGAAAAGAUUUGCUCUGGCAAAUGGGUGAGGUAAGGAUGUGUGUGUGUGUGUGUGUGUGUGUGUGGUGUAUAUAUGUACACGUCACAUACAUAUAUCAGUGAGUAUGUAUAUCUCAAUGAUUUUCAUUUGCUAGGUCUAGUAAUACAUCUAAUUUUUAAAAUAACGAGUUUUUUUCCAGCAGUUGUAUAAAAAUAAUUACUUAAUUAUUGUUUUUCUUUUUCAGCAAGUUUAUGAACUUUGGACAUAUUGAGAUUAUGUAAGUCCUUGGACAGCAUUAAUAUAAUAUUAUCUAAUUUGUAAUAAAAGUGUAUACCCAUUUUAUUCAUUAAGUAUAAAUAUUUGGAAAGACGAUAGAUUUUAAGCCAGGUAUGGAGUGAACUGACACAUUCAUCCACAAAAGUCAGAUCAAGUUAAUGAAAAAAGAGAAGAUUGAGGUGUUACUAUUCAGUAGUACUUCUUUUUAUUUAUUACUUUAUUCAUCAGCACAUCCAGGAGAGCUUAAUAACUCGCUCUCCUAGAAUAAAAAUCCUAGUUGGUACUCCCACCAUGGCCAAUUUUAAGGACAAGGAACACUAAGUUACAAGGAAAUGACAAUAAUCAGUUCUCAUUAGAUGGUAAGGACAGGUGUGAACACUGUGUUACAGCUAACCAGGAGAAAAAGGAAUGUUACGGAACUUAAACUGCUUAGAAUGUUGAUAUAAUAAAGGGGGAUAGGGAAACAGCAAGCACUGAGGCUGGUGAGCCAGGCAGAAGUCAGAGUGGGAGGAGCCUUGAGGUCUCUCCAGGAGAUUCAGGGACCAUAGGAUUUGGUAGUGAUUCAGGUAUGGGAUGAUCAUGGCCCUCAUCAUUGUAGUGACCACAGUAUUUUGCAGGAAUCCAAAAAACAGAUGAUAGACAUGUCCGUAACCAUGAUAGUGCCCAUGGGAUUUUGUAGCUAUAGAGUGAAAAGAUGACAGUGGCCAUAUCCAGGGUAAUGUCUACGGGAAUUUGUGAAUAUCCAGGUAAGAAAUGAGUGUUUCUACUUAGGAAUUGAACAUGGGAUACUGAAGUUAUAAAGGUAGGAAAUGAUGAUAAACCUAACAGUGGGGGUGAGCAUGGUGUUUUCUAGAUAUCCAGAUAAGAGAGGAUGAUGGCCCUAACUCGAGUACCAAAAUUGGAUUUCCUCAGGUAAGCACAUAGGAGCUGAAGAUGUUUCUUACCAUGUUAGUGAACAUGGCAUUUUGUGCUAUUCCAGACAUGAUGGCGAACCUAACCACAAAAUGACCAUGAGAUUGUCAGGGGUCUAGUAAAGACAUGAUGGUGCCCUUAACUGUGAAGGUUAUGACGAAAUUUGUAGGUCAGUAAUUAAGAGAUGAUGCUGAUAAUAACCACAGUAAGGAGCAGGGGAUUUUGCAAGUAACCAGGUAAGAGAUGAUGGUAUCUCUAAAAAUAUGGUGACCAUGGAAUUUUGAGGAUAUCCAAUCAAGGAAUAAUGUGUUACUAGUAAUGGUAGUACCAAGGGAUUUUACAGUUACCCUGGAAAGAAAUGAUGUGUCCCUAGCAAUGGCAUUUAAUCUGGGUAAUUUGUAGGUCUUCAUGUAUGGUAGGCUUCUCUAAAUCUGGUAGAUCUCACGGGCUUCUGUAGGCAUCCACAUGAGAGAUGACGUGACACAAAUUGCAACCAAUUGCCACCAUUGUAACCUAGGUGUUUUAUAAGUAUCCAGCUUAAAGCUGUAGCUUUAUUUAUUCCUUGGAUGUAAGACUUUCAUGUUAUCUAUUGUUUUCUUUCUUUUUGAAACAGAGUCUGGCUGAGGUAAGUGCUGAUGUGGGCCUAAACCACAGCCUGCACCGUGGGACUGUCACAGAGACACAGUUGAGUGAUGAUGUGUCCCUACAGGCCUUACCACCAUUAUUUCCUUCAUACUUAUUCAGGUGAGAAAUGAUUGAGUCUUGUCUUGGUAAGUGAUGAUGGUGAUGAUGGUGUAGGCCUCCCUGUUGUUCCCGAUUUCGCUUCAGGUGUCCCUGACAUAUUCGAAACCGUGAGUUUUCCCUCUGCAUAUUUCAGAGACAAUGCCUAACCCCGUGUUCACAGUGGAACUUUGAAUACUUGGUAAUUAUCCGGUGUUCCUUCCCACAGCAGUGACCAUGGACAUUUUGCAGGUGUCCUGUAGAGAGAAAUGCUGUCUUCUGGGACCACCGCCCUGAGCUUGGGGGCCCCCACUAGCAUUCAGGUUCCCGGGAGAAAAUCCUGAAGAACGGGGGUCAUGAGCAGGGGACGUGUCUGCUAUCUGGGUAAGUGAUUGUGUGCACCAUAAACUUACCACGGACAACCUGAUCUUCACGUUUGUAGGUCAGUGAGGUUCCUUUCCCUGAACAGUUUACCAUGUGAUGCGUUUAUGGGUAUUCCGGUAAGAAAGGGUAGUGGCUCCUCGUUCUCCUUGCCAUGUAAUCCUAUUGUUUUCUGUCUUGGAGAGAACGUAUGAGGUAAGUACCCUGUGAGUGCUGAUGGAUUGGCACGUAACCAGGGAACUCCAGUGGCACUGUGCAUCACAGGAGUAACUAAGGUGGAUGUGCAGAGAAGACGGCCAGAGAAAAUGAAGUGUCCUAUGAUGUCCUACCCCUUGGAGCAACCACAAGCAUCCAGAAGUCAAGGGAACCCUCAUUAUGCUCGAGCAGGGGCACUCUGCCCAUAUCCAGAGAGGAGACAGUAUGGGCGUAAGCAGGCCAUGGACGAUCCAGUCUUCCGAUACACAGGUAAUCACCGAUGUCAUUCCUGCUAUUUUUCCUGUCCUGCCAUGGGUUUUCUCAGCUCAUUUUCUGUUUUUUAUUUUCUGCAGUUAUUCAGUUAAGAAACAAUGCUCUGCCAACCAAGGCUAGUAAGCAUUAGUCCUUGCUGUGUUCGACUUUAGGAUAAUGUGCAUUGAACCUGAGUCCGUGUUGACUGUGGUAGAUGCGGGUGUCCAGGUGAAUUAUCCUACUCUACCAGACCACAGGAUGGAAUGAUAGUUCUGACACAUCCUCAGUCCAGAGCCGAUAGUGGCGCCAACAGUGGGGUGGACGUUGGAGUUCUGCCAGGAUCUAGGUAAGGUUGAUGGUUCCCGGAUGAUGGCAGUGACCAGCCUGUGCGGUGCGUGUCUUUUUCGUCUUUCAGGUAUGCCAAGUGGCAUCCCGGAAAACACCUGUCAGAUGCGUUUCUUCUGCUGCUGCUAGUCAUGAGAUCAAGGUGGGUCUGAGAAUGGCCAUUCAGAGGCCCUGGAUAGUAACCAGGUAAUGGAUGACACCAGUCCUAUGCCAAUACAGACCACUUGAACUUCAGAUUUCCUGGACAAAGAGGGCACUGUCCUUGACACAGUGUUUUUCCCAUGGUUUCCUGCAGGAGUCCCGUAAAGUUCUCUUCCUGUAGAGAGGUAGGAGAUGUUGUGGCAUUACCUCAUGAAAGACAUUCUGAAUUUCCUGCAUGUAGAUAGUUAAUGAUGGUUUAAGUCUGGUAGAGUAACCUUGUGUUUGGCAUAUGUGUCAUUGAGAAAAAAUAAUUAGUGAUUCCCAAUGCCAGUAAGCAUGAGAUUUUACUGUUUGCUUAUUCAGAGGUAAGGGCUUUUAUUUUUUUUUUUCGGUAAAUCUGACCCUCCACGUGAGAAACAGAUAUGCCAGUGCCCAGGUAGUUGAUCAUAUUGUCUGUCACCCCGAUGUGGACUGUGCUGUUUCUCCAGGUAUCCCUCGGAGGCUCUGGCUUAGAUAUUUUCAGUUAUCUGGGUAACCUGGAUGAGUUGCGAAACGAUACCAAUGAACAAGAGUAUUUGUGGGUGUCCUCGUAGCAUAGGUUGUGUACCAAGCAGAGUUUCCCCAAUAUGUCUUUCAGAUGAAUGUCAGGGCAUCACAGCAGGCCUUUUGAAGCUAGGUAACGUGGGGCAUUGCUGGCUGAGGUAAGUGCUGACACAGGCCUAAACCACAGCCCGCAGCAUCGUACUGUCACAGAGGCUUAUUUCAAUGAUGAUGUGCCCCUACACAUCUUCCCGCCAUGAUUUCUUUUCCAUGUAUUCAGAUGAGAAAUGAUUCCGUUUUCACCACUCCCAGAUAGGCCGGGUUUUCCCAUUUUAUAAAAGUAUAUGCUGAACCCUGUGAGUGUUGAGGGAUUGCAGGGAGCCAGGUAUUUAUCGCUGUGUUCCCCACUUCUGUGCUGCCGCUCCGAUUUCUAGAGAUGUGCAGUUGAGAAACAGUAGUUUUCUGCUGUCAGGGUCGACCUGAGAUUACUGCAACUAUACACAUCGAGUGGGUGUGUCCCAUAAAGAUGGAAAUAAACAUGGGACUUUGUGGGAGUCUUUGCAGAAAACCCCCUGUCUUUUUACACAUAUGUAUUGGUGCCUCUUUCAGAUUCCUGCUAUGACAUCACAGUGAAUCCAACAUGGGUCCCUAUCAGGAAGCAGGGCUGCUCUGCAGGUCAAGGCUGCAUGAGGACCCAAAGCAACACAUGGGCCACUUGAAGUUCAGGUGUAUAGGUAAGUGAGGAUGGUGUCCAUACUUCCUGUUGUUCCCAUGAUUUCACCUCAGGUGUCCUGGUCAGAAAUGACAAAUGUCCCUGGCACACUAGAAACCGUGAGAUUUCCCUCUGCAUAUUUCAGAGACAAUGUCUAACCCAGUGAGCACAGUGGGACUGCAAAUACCAGGUAAUGAUCUUGGGGUUCCCAGCCACAGCGAUUACGCUGGACAUUUUGCAGGUGUCUUGUAGAGAGAAAUGCUGUUUUCUGGGCCUGCAGCCCUGAGCUUAGGGGGUCCCACCAGCAUCCAAGUAAGAGUCCUUCAACGAUGGAUGCGAGCAUUGUGAUUUGCAUGUGUCCUGUUAGAACACUUUGUGUGUUUCUGAGGCAUAUAUCUCAGUGUAGGUUUUCCAGGGUCCCACAAGGAAAUCCCGAUAAACAGGAGUCAGGAUCAGGGAACACGUCUGCUAUCUGGGUAAGUGAUGGUGUUCAUGGUAAACUCACCACACACCAGGCGAUCUCCACAUACCUAGGUAAGCAAGGUUCCUUUGCCUGAAGGGUUUAUCAUGUGAUGGGUUAACAGGUAUUUUGGUAAGAAAGGGUAGCGGCUCUCCGUUCUCCUCGCCAUGUGAUCCUAUUGAUUUCUACCCUGGAAAGAAUGUAUGAUGUAUGUGGUCUGUGAGGGCUGAUUGAUUGUCACAUACCCAGGGAACUCAUGUGGCAUUGUGCAUCACAGGAGUAACUGUGGUGGAUUUGCAGGGAAACUGGCCAGGGAAAAAUAGUGUGUCCUACAAUGGCCUAGACCCUGGAGGGCCUGCAAGCAUCCAAAUACAUUUUUGACUCCCACAGUGAUUAUACUGAGCAAGGCGGUUUGCAGGAUCCUGAUGGAAAAGCUGUGUCUGUUGAGCCAUUGAUCACACUUGCAGUUUCAGGUUCAGGCAGGCAGAAGUCAGAGCAUGAGGACAACAUUGAGGUCUCUCCAGGCGAUUUAUGGACUCUCGGAUUUGGUAGUGAUUCAGGUACGAGAUGAUCAUGGCUCUCAUCAUUGUAGUGACCAUGGUAUUUUGAAGGAAUGCAAAAACAGAUGAUGGGCCCGUCCCUGACCAUGGUAGUGCCCAUGGGAUUUUUUAGCUAUAGAAUGAAAAGAUGACAAUGACCAUCUCCAUGGUAAUGUCUGAAAUUUUUAAAAUAUCCAGGUAACAAAUGAAUGUUUCUGCUUAGGAAGUGAACAUAGAAUACUGAAGUUACAGAGUUAAGAAAUGAUGAUAAACUUCACCAUGGGGGUGACCAUGAUAUUUUCUAGAUAUCGAGAUAAGUGAGGAUGGUGACCCUAACUUGACUACCAAAAUUGAGUUUGCUCAGGUAGGCAUGAAGGAGCUGAUGAUGCCGCUUCCCAUGUUAGUGAAUAUGACAUUUUGUGGUAUUCCAGAUAUGAUGGCGAACCUAAUCACAAAAUAACCAUGAGAUCAUGAGAUUGUCAGGGGUCUAGUAAAAAGAUGGUGGUCCCCUUAACCAUGAAAGUUAUGAUGAAAUUUUGUAAGCCAGUAAUUAAGAGAUCACAGAGAUCCUAACCGUGAUACUGAACAAGGAAUUUUGCAAAUCACCAGGUAAGAGAUGAUUGUGUCUCUAAAAAUGUGGUGACCGUGGGAUUUUGCAGAUAUCCAAUUAAGGAAUAAUGUGUUCCUAGAAAUUGUAGUACCAAGGUAUUCAGCAGUUACCCAGGAAAGAAAUGGUAUGUCCCUAGCAAUGGCAUUUAAUCUGGGUAAUUUGUAGGUCUCCAUGUAUGGUAGGUUUUUCUAAAUCUGAUAGAUCUCAUGGGCUUCUGUAGGCAUCCGCAUGAGAGAUGAUAUGUCAUAAAUUGUAAGUAACUGCCACUACCGUAACCAAAGUAUUUUAUAAGUGUCCAGCUAAGAGCUCUGGCUUUAUGUAUUUGUUGGAUUUAUGACCAUUUUUUUCUGUGUUUUCAUAGUUUUUUUUCUUUUUUUGAGAGUCUGGCUGAGGUAUUGCUGAUGCACGCAUAAACCACAGCAUGCACCAUGGGACUGUCCCAGGGACCUGGUUCACUGAUGAGAUGUCCCCACACGUCUUCCCGCCGUGAUUUCUUUCACAGGUACUCAGCUGAGAAAUGAUUGAGUCCUUACCAAUCCCAGAUUGGCCAGGUUUUCCCAUUUUCUGUUUCAACAAAAGUGUAUGCUGAAACCUGUGAGUGUAGAGGGAUUGCAGGGAGUCAGGUAUUUAUCACUGUAUUCCCCGCCCCCGUGCUGCCCCUAGGAUGUCUACAGGUGAACAGUCGAGAAACGGUGGUUUUCUGCUAUCAGGGUCGACCUGAGAUUACUGCAAGUAUCCAGGUCGAGUGGGUGUGUCCCCAAAAGAUGGAAAUCAAGGUUAUUUGUAGGAGUGCUGGUGGAAAACCCCAUGUCCUUCUACACAUGUGUCUUCUACACAUCUGAUUUUGCAAGCUGCCAGAGAAGAUAUGAUGGUGUCUCUAAAAAUGUCUAAACAUGUGGUGACCACGGGAUUUUGCAGAUAACCAGUUAAGUAAUAAUGUGUCACUAGAAAUGGUAGUCCCAAGGUAUUUAACAGUUUUUCAGUCACCCAGGAAAGAAAUGAUGUGUCCUUAGCAAUGGCAUUUAAUUUGGUUAAUUUGUAGGUCUCCAUGUCUGGUAGGUAUUUCUAUAUCUGGUUGAUCUCCUGGGCUUCUGUAGGCAUCCACAUGAGAGAUGAUGUGUCACAAAUUGUAACCAAGUGCCAAGGUAUUUUACAAGUAUCUCACUUAAAGCUCUGGUGAAUAUAAGUUUUUGAAGAUACCCAGUAGGGAAUGAUGUUGGCCUAAGCCGUGGUAAUGCCCACGAGUAGUGCCCAUAUCUUGGUAACAGGUGGUGUGUGUCUAAUUAUGGUUGUCACCAUGGUUUUUUUGCAAAUUCCAGCAACAUAAUGAAGACAAUCUUAACCGCUCUUAUGAAUAUAGGAUUUCGCAAGAAUUGAGGAAAGAAAUAAUGUGGGCUUUAACCAAGUAGACAUGAUUAGAUUUUGGGGAUUUCUAAAUAAGUGAUCACGGUGUCCCUAACCAUGGGAUUUUGCAGGUUGUAGUCAAUAGGUGAUGAUGAAUUUAACAGUAGGCGCAAACAUGGGAUUUCUUGAUACCCAGGUAAGACAUGAUGUGGUCCUUAAACAUAUUACAGACCAUAUGAUUUUUUAGAUACCUAGAUAAGCAAUAAUAUAUCCUGAAAUCUUGAUGUUACCUUUUUUUUUUCCCAUUUAAAAAGUCGCUCAUUCUCAAAUAUUUGUGCAGGGCUGAUUUCAGAGUAUAAGAAUGCACCAGCGGUUGGCCCAGUGACUCACGCUUUAAUCCCUACACUUUCGGAGGCCGAGGCGGGCAGAUCACUUUAGGUCAGGAGUUCGAGACCAGCCUGGCCAACAUAGUGAAACCCUGUCUCUACUAAAAGUACAAAAUUUAGCCGGGCGUCCUUGUACAUGCCUGUAGUCCCAGCUAGUCGGGAGGCUGAGGCACGAGAAUCACUUGAACCCAGAAGGCAGAUGUUGCAGUGAGCCGAGGUUGGGCCACUGCAGUCCAGACUGGGCGACAGAGCGUCUUUGCCCCCAUCACCCCACCCCCAAACAAAGAAAGAGUAAUGCACCAGAGUCAUGAAAUAAUGAUCUUACCACAGAGGGCGUAAAAAACAAAACCUCAGAAAAUAUUACCAUAUUUCGAAAGACUUGUGGAAAAUAAUUAAGGACCAGGUAGCAGAAAUUGUGAUCAGAGGAAAUAACAUAAGAAUAUACUUAAGCGCACAGUACAUAGUUGGAGGGAGAACUGUUUAUCCUUCUAAAACCGUUACUAUGAUCAACACAGACAAGAGACACUUCCCUGAAAGGUUAAAUUGUUUCAUGAGAAAUAAAAGCAACCAAAAUGAGCCACAUUAUCUACAAUAGAAGAGACUAUAUGGAAAAAGUUCUAUGGCAAGAGCUAAUUCGUUGGUAUACAAAAAGAUCCAUGAAAAAUGACCCAAUUUUAGACACAUUAGAUAUUGCAGGCUCAAAAAUCAAAGGAACAUUUUGAAAGCUAAUUUAAAUUUAAUUAAUUGCUGAAUGUCUCCUUGGCUAGUAGUUGAACGAUCAUUAUUUAGUCCCACAUCUCUCUCGUCAUUUUGUUUGCAAACUGUCUAAAAGCCUUAUUUCCUCAUCUCUUUGACAGAUGACCAAAAUGGAUCCUACAGUAUAAUCACACAGGAUAAUGUUGGAAAGUAUGACUAUCUAAAUUAUUUUUAAAGGCAUUAUUUUUCCCCUUUGAUUUUCAAAUUCUUUCUCAUAAUUUCUAAAAUGGUGUCGACAGCGGCCUGUACUGUGCCUUCACUGAUGUCAUCACUGAGAUCACUCUCAAUUGCUCUCGAACUUGUUGUUGGCCUUUCGUGUAGGUAUGAACUGUGGCCCGGCAGAUCUGACUGUUGUUGCUGCUGCUUCUGUUCCUGCUGAUGCUUUUCAAAAUAGUCUUCUUUUAUUUUCUUCGGCUGUUCUGAAGCAGGAGUUACACAUGAUGUCUUUGGAAGAUCUUGCGAUGUGUUUCCGGAACUACCUUGCAUGCUUAACUCAAUAGUACUGCGGAGAUGUUCAUCUUCUCUAUUGGUUUCUUGGCGGCUUAGUUCAAGGGCCCUCUGAAAAUCCUCCUCAUCUUGGUCUGAUGUUCCAGACUCAUCACUUUCUUCUGAUACUUUUUCAAGGACUGUUUUAUAGACUCUAUGCUCUUUUUGUUUUACUAAUUUUUUUCCAUUAAGUUUUGGUGUAUCCAUCUCUUCGACACUGAUGAUCUGCAGGAGUUGGUCAGCUUCACAGUCUGGCAGAUCACCCUUGACAACAAAUACAGAAUAUGCUUGUUGUUGUAAUCGAGCCAAGAAAUUUGCAAGGCAUGUAUCUGAUAUUAAUUCUGGACCCGCCAAGAGAGAAUUCAAGUUAAACCAGUGUUUUCCAAAUUUUCUAAUAGUAAACCAGUGUUGUUUAUAAUUACAUAUAAAAGAUCUUUCAUUUAUAGGAUCAAUGCCGAGCUUCUGAUAUUCAGGAUUAUUGAAAUGGAUGAUCUCUAAACCCCAGAACUUCAAGGCAUUGCUUAUUACCUGAAUGGAGAAGAAACCGGUAUCAUCCAUGUUUUCUGAAGGCUGCUGUAAAAAUGCAAGAUACUCUUCACUGGUGACUCCUCCUUCUGCCAUUCUCAUCCUCUCUUCUUCAUCUAGCUGAUGUGCAAUUGAGGCUAAUUCCACAGGGCUAAAAUAUUCUCCUUGCAAUAGAUUGUUCAGACAGUGCUGAGCACACAGGAAACCUUCCUGUUUCUCAUGAAAGAUGAAAUCCAUGUUAAUUGUAUCCGUGAGUUUCUGUAGGUAUGCCGGAAGAUGUUGUAUGCCCAGCUAUGGCAGUUACCUGGGCAGUUUGUGGAUAGCCAUGUAACAGAUGUUAGGUUUUCAAACCUUAUGAAGACCAUGGGUUUUUGCAGGUAUUCAGGUAAGAGAUGGUAUGUCACAAAGCACUAUUGUGACCAAGGUGGUUUUGCCAGUAUCCAGUCAAAAGCUGAUGGUAAACCUAAAGUGAAUAUGGGAUUUUGGAGUUAUCCCAUAGAUGAUAAUGGUGACUUGCACCAUAGUAGUGCCCGUUGGAAUUUCAGAUGUCCUAUAAAAAUAAUGUCUCUCUAAUUAUGCUUGUCAGCAUGGUUUUAGUAAGUAAAUAAAGGUGAAAUUUACCACAGCACUAAACAGAAGAUUUGGCAGGUAACUGGGAGAGAAAUAACAUGGGCUUUAACCGAAUGGACACCAUGGGAUUUUGGAACUGUCUGGCUAAGUUAUCAUGAUGUCACUGACCACAAUAAUAGCCAUAGAAUUUUGUAGGUUCCAGUCAAUAGAUGACAAUAAAACUCACAGUGGCAAUGAAGAUGGGACUUUGCUGGUAUCCUAGUUAGAGAUUAUGUGGACCUGAAAAACAUGAGUGACCAAAUGAUCUUCAGACAUCUAGAAAACUGAUGAUGAUGUCCUGAACUCUUUUCUUAUCCAUGUGUUUUUACAGGUGUUCAGGUAAGAAAUGUAUGUGCCUAACAAAAGUAGUAACCAUUAGAUUUUACUGUUUUCUAGUUCAGAGACAAUCUUUCUCAAACUUAGUAGUGACAAAGAUAUUAGCAGGUAUCCGGGUAAGAUAUCACAGAGUUCCUCACCACAGUAGUAACUAUGGGAUUUUUGCAGGAGUCCAGUGAACAGACAGUGUGUGAAACUACUAUGUUGACCUUGGACUUCUCUUGAGUGUCCAAGUACACUUAGUGGUUGCCCUAAUGAUUAUAGUGAGUGUAUGCAUGGAAUUAUCAGGGGUCCAGAUGGAAGGACAUGUAUCCUGACCAGGGUUGCCACCAUAUGUUUUCUCAGCAGGUAGUCAAGAGAUGAUGGUGUCUCUAACUACAACAUUGGCCUCAGAACCUUAAGAUUCAGGUAGAGUUCAUGGUUCCCCUAACAAUACUAGUCACCAUGGGAUUUUUUGAGGUGCGUAUAGAAGAUGUAUCCCUAACCACUACUGCUGCCAUAUGGUUUUGCAAGCUCCUAUCAAGAGAUAAUGGUGAAACUCAUAUUAGUCAUUUUUGUAGGAAUUUCAUGGAAUCUAGCUAAGUGAUUAUGUGGACCUUAAACACAGUACAGACCAUCUGCUCUUCAGACAUCGAGGUAAGUGACGAUGAUGUCCUCAACAUGUGUUGGUAUCAUGUGUUUUGCAGGUAUUCGGGUAAAAAAAAAUGAUACGGGCUCUACCAAUAAGUAUUGGAAUCCAUGAGCUUUAGCUUAACCAGUUUUCUAGUUUAGAGAUAUUGUGUGUUUAACUUUAGGAGUGAAUGAGGGAUUUUCAGGUAUCUAGGCAAGUGAUCAUAACUUUCUUCACCACAGUAAUGACCUUGAGAUUUUUAUAGAUGCCCAGACAAUAAAUGACGGUGCCUGUACCAAUGUGUUGACCUUCAGGUUCUGCCAAUAUCCAGGUAGCAUUAAUGGGUUUGUAAAGAUGGAAGUGACAAAAGUUAUUUGCAGAUGUUCUGCUAGAAAAAGUUGCAUUCUUAAACACAUCUGUCACAAUAUGUUUUUUCAGGUUUCAGUCUAAAGAUCAAGGUAACCCUAACAACGGGGAUUAACAUGGAGCUUUGCUGGUAUCCAGGCAAGUGAUGAUGUGGGUCUUAUCACACGGUAGACAUUGUGACCUUCAGAAGUUUACAUAAGUGAUGAUGAUACCUCUAACAUUUGUGUUACCGUGUUUUUUUGGGUUUUUGCAGAUAUUCAGGUAAGAAAUUAUAGUGUUCCCAUAAUUCCUAUUUAAUAAUACACCCUUGCUGCUUACUAGUGCAGAGAUAAUGUUUUGAAAUCUGGCUAUGACUGAGGGAUUUGUAAGUUUCCAAGUAAAUUAUCGUACUGUUUCUCAUCUCAGUAUUGACUAUGGUAUUUUUACAGGUACCCAGUCAAGAGAUUAUGACAUAUCCAUGGUUUUGACCUGGAUAUUCUGCAAGUAUCAAGGUGCUGUCAGUGGAUGGUGGUGAAACUAACAAUGAUAGUGAACAUGGACUUAGCUAAAAGAGAGGGAAAAGAUGGUGUGAGCCUUUACACUUUGGAGAGCUUCAGAUUUCAGUUAUCUCGGUAAGCGUUGAUGGUGCCUGUAAUACUGUGGUUACAAGAAUGUUGUUUUUAUCAAGAGGCAUUCAGGUAAGGUCAGUGCUAAUAUAAAGGUGAGAAACCAUGUGGCAUUUAUACACUAGAGACCUGAAUUUCAGAUAUCUGGGAAAUUGAUGAUGGUGAUCAUAACUGUAAUAGUUACCUGGUUUGGUACAGGUUUGCAGGGAAGAAAUGAACUUGCUCCCCUAGUAAGAGUAAGCAUGAGAUUUAAAAAAAAAUUUUAGUGACAAUUUGUACUUAACCCUAGUAGCAGUUGAGAAACCUGCAGGUAUCCAGGUAAGAUAUCACACUGUCUGUCACCCCACUAGUGACCAUGGGAUUUUUGCAGGUAUUUCUUCAAAGGAGAGAGGUGUCUUUAUUAGGGUUUAACUUCACACCUCUGGAACUAUCGAUGUAGCAUUGAUGAGUCACAAAAAGAAGUGAUCAAGGGUAUUUGCAGGUGUCCAGGUAUUAUAAGAGGUGUAUGCUUUUCAGGUUCCUUUCAUGAGAUUAUAGUGAGCUUAACAAUGGCCAUUAAUGGUGGACAUUAUGAGUAUGUGGUAAGUGAUGAGGUGUGCUUAAUGCACAGCUGAAAAUAUUUGACCUUGGCAUAAGAAGGUAAGUGAUGAAAGUGCCCCUAACGGUUGUUACAAUGUUUGCUCGCUUGUUUGUUUUGAAGAUAUUGAGAUAAGAAACCAUAGUCCUUACCAGUGUUAGGAACCAUGAGUUCUUAGUUUUACAUAUUUUAGAAAAUGUAUUGUUAACCCCAUGGGCACUGAGUCAUUGCCAUAUCCAGAUAAUUUUCAUGGUGUUCCUCACCACAGUAGUAACCAUGGGAUUUUUGCAGACAUCCAGUCAAGAAACAGUGGCUUCAUCUGGCAACAUUGUUCACCUUGAGUAGUGCAAAUGUCCAGCUAGAGUGUAUAUGUCCCAUAAUGAUGGAAGUGACAAAAGUUAUUUGCAAGCAUCAUGCUUAAAAAAGUGUCUUUUCACACAUAUUUCAAAACAUGUUUUUCAAAUUCCUGUCAAGAGAUGGUGGUGAACCUAACAAUGGUUGUUAACAUGGUAGGUGUUGAUGUGGGUCUUUCACACUACAGAACAUCUAAUCUGCACAUACCUAGGUCAGUGAUGAUGGUGUCCCUAGUACUUGUAUUACCAUGUUUUUAUUUUCAGCUAUCAGGCAAGGGCUUUACUAGUAUAGAGGUAAGAACUAAUACGACUUUUAUGUAGUAGAGACCUUCCUAUUUUGAGAUAUCCUGGUAAUUAACAGUGGUGCUGAGAACUCUGAUACUAAUCUUGUUUUUUGGCUGGUUUGCAUAGAGGAAAUUAGUUUUGUCUAACAGUAUAAAUAAGCAUGAGAUUUUACUUUAUUGUUAUGUAGAGCUAAUGUGUAUUUAAUAAUCCUAGUGUUAGAUGGACAUGUAGGUAUCCAGCUAAUUUAUCCUAUUUUUCAUCACCACAUAAUGACCAUGGGAUUUCUGCAGGUAUCCAUGUAAGAGAGGAAAGUGUCUCUUACUAGAUUUUGACAUUGGAGUUCUGCAAAUGUUCAAGUAAUGUUGAUGGGUCCCAAAAUGACAGAAAUGACCAGGGGAAUGUGCAGGUGACCAGGUAUAAUCAGAUGUAUAUCAAAUAUAACAUUUUUCGUAAUGUGUUUUUCAGGAUUCUGUCAGGAGAUUAUGGUGAGCCCAACAGUGGUAGUUGAUGUGGGACACUGCUGGAAUAUAGGUAACUGAUGUGGUAAGUUUAAAUCACAGCAAGUCUACUUGAUUUUCCUAUAUCUAGGUAAGUGAUUAAUGAUGUCCCAAAUACUUGUUACUGUGUUUGUUUCUUUUUUCUUUAUGUAUUCAGUGAUGAAAAGUUCUUACUAGUAAUAGAACCCAUGAGUUCUUUCUUUUUACCUUUUAGGGAAAAUUUCUUUAACUUUGUGAGUAUUGAGGGAUUGUCACAGUAAUUACCAUUGUGUUUCCCACUGCAUUCGUAAUCAUGGGAUCUUUGCAGUUAUCCAGUCAAGAAAUUAUGGUCUUAUCUGAAAUGGUGUUUACCUUGAUGUACUACAAAUAUUCAAGUAGAGAUGAUGUGUCCAGUAAUAUUGGAAGUAACUAAGGUUAGUUGACAGCAUCCUCAUAGAAAAUAAAUUGUGUCCUUUAACAUGUAUUUUCUAAAGUGUUUUUCAUGUUCCUGUCAAGAGAGCAUGGGGAACCUAAAGACGGUGGUUAACAUGGGACGUUGCUGGUGUCCAGGUAAGUGAUGAUGUGAGCCAUAGUGGUAUUGUUGGCUUCUACUUAGUGUUGUCAGCUUUUGUUUUUUUUUAAAGUAUUCAAGUACGAAAUGAUAAUCUCGUUACUGUUACUAUUAACUAUGUUGUUUGUUUUAUAUAUUAAUGUAAACUUAUGUUUAGCCUAGUGAGUGUUGGAUUUGCAGAAAUCUAAGUAAUUCUUAUGAUGUCCUGCUUGUCAGAUGUAACCCCGGGACUUCUGGAAGUGUGCAGUGAACAGAAAGUGUUUUCACUAACAGUAGUGCAGACCAUAGAAUACUACAAGUAAUCAGGUAGAAUUGAUGGGUCCUGCAAUGGAGGAAGCCACCAACUUUGUCCAUAGCUGUUCAGGAGGAAAAAAUUGUGUGCAUAGGAACAUUUGUAAAAAUUUGUUCUUCAGGUUUCAGUCCAGAGAACAUGAUGAACUUCAAAAUGGUCAUUCACAGGGAUUCACCUGGUGCCCAGGUAAGUGCUGAUGUGAGCCUAAACCACAGUACAGGCCAUCUGAUCUUAGGCCAUCUGAUCUUCAUGUAUAUAGGUAAUGAUGGUGUCACAUUUUUUUGACUAUGUGUUUAUCGCAACUAUUCAGCUAAGCAUGAGAUAGCCCUUAACAAUAUGAGGAACCAUGAAUUUUCACUUUUUUAUUCUGUAGAGAAUGUAUGCUCAACCCUUUUAGUGAUGAAGAACUGCACAUGUCUAGAUAACUAUCGUGGUGCUCCUCCUCCACUAGUAGCCAUGGGAAUUUUGAGAUUAUAGUCAGGAAAUGAUGUUUUUAUCUGGCAACAGCACUUCCUUGGAGUACUUCAGAUAUUCAGGUAGAGUAGAUGGUUUCUGCAUGAUGGCAGUUAUCAAGGUUAUUUUCAGGCAUCCUGAUAGAAAAGGUUGUGUUCUUCAACACAUAUCUCAAAUUAUGCUUUUCAGAUGCCUAUCCAGAGAUCACAAAGGACCUAAAUAUGUUUGUUAACAGGAGACGUUGCUGGUGUCCAGGUAAGUGAUCAUAUGACAUUGACUCAUGAGAGAGCUUCUAAUUUUCAGAUACCUGAGCAGUUAGUGAUAUCCUUAAGACACAUAUAUUAACAUUGUUUUCGACAUGUGUGCAGUUAGAGAGUUAGUUCCUAACAAUACUAGUAAACAUGAGAUUCUCCUGUAUUCUUAUUUAGAGAUAAUGCAUAUUUAUCACUCCGAGCAACAGAUGAAUAUGCAGGUAUCCAGGUAAUUUAUAGUCUUAUCUAUCACCAGGUUAUUGGUCAUUUUGCAGAUAUGUCUUCAAGAGAUGAAGGAGUUUCUUACCUUGGUUUGAACUUGGAAUUCAGCAGGCAUCCAGGUAGCAUGGAUGGGUCCUGAAAUGAUACAGGUGACCAAAGGACUUUGCAGGUGUUCAGGUAUCUGAAGAUACUUACCAAGCACAUUUUCCACAAUACCAGAUGCAUUUUCCACAAUGUGUUUUUCAGAUCCAAGUCAAGACAUCAUAGUGAGUCUGUGAAAGGUAAUCAGGGAGUCUGUGAAAGAUGGGAUGUUGCCGGUAUCAAGGCAAGAGAUGGUGUGGGACAAAAGCACAGCACAGCACAGCCCAUCUGAUCAUCAUGUGCAUAGGUAAGUGAUGACAGCGCCCCAAGCACUUCUUUAUUGCCUUUUCCAUGAUUUUUUGGCAGGGGUUCAGGAAAAAAAUCAUAGAACCUGUAUCAAUUCUAGAAACCGUGAGUCUUUACUUUUCAUAUAUUAGGGAACAUGUAUGGCAGACUCUUUGAGUUUGAGGGAUUGCAUGUAUCCAGGCAAUGAUCAUGGUGAUUUUCACUACAGUAGAAACCACGUAAUUUUUUAGGCUUCCUCUCAAGAAAUGAUAGUUUGAUAUGACAACAGUGUUGUCCUUGGAAUACUGCAAAUGUCCAGGUACAGAUGAUUUGUCUCAUAAGGACGGAACUCUGCAAGGUUAUUUGCAAGUGUCCUCCUGGAAAACAUGGCAUCCUUUAACACAUAUUCACAUUGUGUUUCAGGUUCCUGUGAACUGAUUGUUAUGAAACUAAAAGUGGAUGUUAAUAAAAACAUUUCUGCUCUAAGUAAGUGAUGAUGCACACCCUAACCAAUCAUGAAUCAUCUGAUUUUUAUAUAUCUAGGUAAGUUUUACCAUUUGAUUUUUGGUACGUAGUCAGGCAAAACAUGAUAGCAUUUUAUUAAUUCUAGCAGACGUGUUAAUCCAGAGUUUGUAUUUCACAGAAAAUUUACAUUUAACCAGGUGAGUGGUCAAUGAUUUCCAUGUGUCCUUGAAAAUAUCUUGUGGCUCCCCAUCAGGGUAGCAACCAUGGGAUAUUAUCAGCUGUGCAGUUAUCACCACCCAUGAUGGUGUCUCUAACAAAGAUAUGUUGACCUUGAAUUGAAGCAAGUAUCUAGGUAGAGUUGAUGUGUAUUCCAAAAUAAUGGAAGCAUACAAGGUUGUAGGCAAGUGCCCGGGGAGAACAAGUUGUGACCUUAAACACAUUUGUCUUAUAUGAUGUUUCAGGUUCUUGUCAAAACUAUGAGGUGAAUCACAUAAUGCUCAGUAAUGAAACAUUGCUUGUAAACAGGUAGUGAUAACUGUUUGCGUCCUGUAAUGGGGGUAAUUACACAAUGCAGAGCGUUGGAUUUUCUAGGUAGGUAAAAAGGGAUCCCUAAUGCUUAAGCUACUGUGUAUUUUGUAGGUAAUCCAUUCAGGUUUUUGGGCUAGUAUACAGCUACCAGAUAAGGUUGUAUUAACAUGUAAAACACCUUGGUAUUUUCGGAUAUCAACUUUAUUAAUGUUUUACACAAUAUUAACUUAAACUUGUUUUUCACAUUUAUGCAGUUAAAAAUAAAUAUGCCUCUAGUAAUACAAAUAAUCAAGAGAAUUUAUUGCAUGUCUUGACAGAUAAUGAGUAUUGAACACUUACAGAGCUACACAAAUCCACAGGCAUCUGGAUUAACAGUAUUGUCCAAAACCAUGAAAUUAACAACUGGAAUUAUGCAGGGAUCUAAUCAAGAAAGUACAAGGAUUCUUAAAAGGCGUUUUCCUCAAAUUUCUACAAGUAUUGAGGUACCUUUGAUGAUUACAAAAAUAAUAAAAGGGACCAGAAAAGAUUGGAGGUAUAUAGGUAGAAUGAUACGUGUACCAGUCACACUGUUCACAAUAUAUAUUUCAGAUUUACAUUAACAUAUCGCAGCAAGCCUGUCAAAGCUAGGUAACAUGGGACAUUGCUGGCAGAGGUAAGUGCUGAUGCGGGCCUUAACUACAGCCCGCAGCGUGGGACUGUCACAGAGACUAGUUCAGUGAUGAUGUGUCCCUAAACGUCAUCCCGCCAUGAUUUUUUCCCAGGUAUUCAGGUGAGAAAUGAUUGAGUCUUAACCAAUCUCAGAUAGGCUAGGUUUUCUAAUUUUCUCUUUCACCGAAAGUGUAUGCUGACCCUGUGAGUGUUGAGGGAUUGCAAGUAACCAGGUAUUUAUCACUGUAUUACCCACCCCCAUACUGCCCCUGGGAUUUGUGGAAGUGUCCAGUUGUGAAACGGUGGUUUUCUGCUAUCAGGGUCGACCUAGGAUUACUGCAAGUAUCCAGGUCGAGUGGUGUGUCCCAUAAAGCUGGAAGAACUCAAGGUUCUUUGCAGGAGUCCUGGUGGAAAACCCUGUGUCCUUCUACGUAUAUGUUUUCAUGCCUAUUUCAGCCCCUGACCGUGACAUCACAAUGAGUAUGAUACAGGUCUGGAGGUCAGCACUGAUGAGGACUGAAAGCAACGCACGGGCCACGUAAGGUUCAGCAGUCUAGGAAAGUGAUGAUGGUGUCCAUCCUUCCUGUUGUUCCCAUGAUUUCACUUCAGUUGUCCUAGGAAAAAAUGGUAAGACUCCCUGGCAUAGUAAACUGUGAGUUUUCCCUCUGCAUAUUUCAGAGACAAUGACUAACCCUGUGAGUGCAGUGGGACAGCAAAUACCAGGUAAUGAUCUGGCUUUCCCAGCCACAGCAGUGACCGUAGACAUUUUGCAGGUGUCCUGUAGAGAGAAAUGCUGUCUUCUGGGACCACGGCCCUGAGCUUGGGGACCCUGUCAGCAUCCAGGUUCCCGGGAGGAAAUCCUAACUAACCAGAGACACAAUCAGGGGACGUGUCUGCUAUCUGGGUAAGUGAUGGUAUGUGCUGUAAACUCAACACAGACCAUUUGAUCUUAAUGUAUUAGGUCAGUGAGGUUCCUUUCCCUGAACGGUUUACCAUGUGAUGGGUUUAUGGGUGUUCUGGUAAGAAAGGGUAGUAGCUCCCCGUUCUCAUUGCCAUGUGAUCCUGUUGUUUUCAGUCCAGGAGAGAACGUAUGAGGUAUGUACCCUGUGAGUGCUGAUUGAUUGGCACGUGCCCAGGGAAUUCACAUGGCACUGUGCAUCACAGGAGUAACCAUGGUGGCUUUGCAGAGAAGCGGGCCAGAGAAAAUAGCAUGUCCUGCAAUGGCCUAGACCUUGGAGGACCUGCAAACAUCCAGGUACAAUUUUGGCUCCCACAACGAUGAUCGUGAGCAGGCGGUUUUCAUGGUCCUAGUGGAAAUGCUGUGUCCAUAGACACAUUGGUCACAUAUGUGGUUUUAGGUUCCCGUGGAAAGGUCACAGGAAACCUCUUCGUGCUUGAGCGGAGGACUGUGCCUGUAUUUAGGUGGGUGAUGGCGUGGGCCUAAGCAGGCCACGGACUAUCCGAUCUUCCCAUACACAGGUAAAUGCAGAUGGCUUUCUGGCUCUUGUCCCUGUCCUGCCAUGGGUUCCUCGGCUCAUUUUCUGUUCUUUAUUUUCUGCAGUUAUUCAGUUAAGAAACGAUGCUUUGCCAACCAAGACUGGUAAGCAUUAGUCCUUGCUAUGUUCAACUUUAGGAAAAUGUGCCUUGAACCUGAGUCCGUGUUGACUGAGGGAGAUGUGGGUGUCCAGGUAAAUUAUCCUACUCUACCAGACCACAGGAUGGAAUGAUAGUUCUGACACAUCCUCAGUCCAGAGUCAAUAAUGGUGCCAGCAGUGGGGUGGAAGUUGGAGUUCUGCCAGGAUCUAGGUAAGGCCGAUGGUUCCCAGAUGAUGGCAGUGACCAGGCUGUGUAGUGCAUAUCUUUUUCGUCUUUCAGGUACGCCAAGUGGCAUCCCGGAAAACACCUGUCAGAUGCAUUUCUUCUGCUGCUGCUAGUCAUGAGAUCAAGGCCAGCCUGAGAACGGCCAUUCAGGGGCCCUGGAUUGUAACUGGUUAAUUGAUCACAUGAGUCCUAUGCCAGUACAGACCACCUGAACUUCAGAUUUCCUGGACAAAGAGGGCACUCUCCUUGACACACUGUUUUUCCCAUGGUUUCCUGCAGGAGUCCCGUAAAGUUCUCUUCCUGUAGAGAGGUAGGAGAUGUUGUGACAUUAUCUCGUGAAAGACAUUUUGUGUUUCCUGCAUGUAGAUAAAAUUAAUGACGGUUUUGAGUCUGGUAGAGUAACCUUGUGUUUGGCAUAUGUGUCAUUGGGAAAAAAUAAUUAGUGAUUCCCAAUGCCAGUAAGCAUGAGAUUUUACUGUUUGCUUAUUCAGAGGUAAGGCUUUGUUUGUUUGUUUUUUGCAAAUUUCACACUCCACGCAAUAGACAGAUAUGCCAAUGCCCAGGUAGUUGAUCAUAUUGUCUGUCACCCAGAUGUGGACUGUGGUGUUUCUGCAGGUAUCCCUUGUAGACUGUAGCCUCAGAGUUCUUCUGUUAUCCAGGUAGCCUUGAUGAGUCGUGAAAUGAUGCCAGUGAACAAGAGUAUUUGUGAUUGUCCUUGUAGCAUAGGUUGUGGACCAAGCAGUUUCCAUAAUAUGUCUUUCAGAUGUGUGUCAGGGCAUCACAGCAGGCCUUUCAAUCCUAGGUAAUGUGGGACAUUGCUGGGUGAGGUAAGUGCCACAGCCUGCAGUGUGGGACUGUUACAGAGACCUAGUUCUGUGAUGAUGUGUCCCUACAUGUCUUCCCAUCGUGAUUUCUUUCCCAGGUAUUUGGGAGAGAAAUGAUUGAGUCCUUACCAAUCCCAGGUAGGCCGAGUUUUCACAUUUUCUGUUUCACCAAAAGUAUAUGCUGAACCCUGAGAGUGUUGAGGGAUUGCAGGUAACCAGCCAGGUAUUUAUCACUGUGUUCCCCACCCCUGUUCUGCCAAUAGGAUUUCUCCUGGUGUCCAGUCAAGAAAUAAUGGAUUUCUGCAUAGAUUUUGACCGUGUAUCACUGAAGUUGUGCAGAUAUUCCGAUAAGAAAUGUAGAGUCCUGGCUGAGCGCAGUGGCCCACGCCUGUAAUCCUGGCACUUUGGGAGGCCGAGGCUGGUGGAUCACAAGGUCAGGAGAUCGAGACCAUCCUGGCUAACACGGUGAAACCUCGUCUCUACUGAAAAUACAAAAAAUUAGCCAGGCAUGGUGGCGGGCGCCUGUAGUCCCAGCUACUCUGGAGGCUAAGGCAGGAGAAUGGCAUGAACCCGGGAGGCGGAGCUUGCAGUGAGCCAAGAUAGCGCCACUGCACUCUAGCCUGGGACAGAGCGAAACUCUGUCUAAAAAAAAC